CCAGAUCUGUCCUUCGGCUAAC
rnacentral:miRNA from 2 species